AAACAAGAGCAUCGCUACCGCUGCAAUAUACGUCCACAUUCCUGCUUUGAUUGAUAUGGUACUUUUUAAAACUAGAAAUGGGCGUGGCUCUGCCCCUGGGGGUCGGGCAUGCACCAAAAACAAUAGGGAUCUUCCUUGGGGUAUAAGGAAUAAGUAUACCAAGUUUGAAGAAAAUCCAGUAAGAAUUGCGCCCUGUAGGCGACACAAAGACACACGAAAAGAAAAUGGGAAAUGGGCGUGGCUCUGCCCCUGGGGGUUGGGCAUGUACCCCAAACGAUAGGGAUGUUCCUUAGGGUACAAAGAAUGUGUAUGCAAGAUUAUAAGUUAAGAAAUGUGGCCUGUAGACGACAAACAAACAAAUACUAGAAAUGGGCGUGGCUCUGCCCCUGGGGGUCGGGCAUGCACCAAAAACAAUAGGGAUCUUCCUUGGGGUAUAAGGAAUAAGUAUACCAAGUUUGAAGAAAAUCCAGUAAGAAUUGCGCCCUGUAGGCGACACAAAGACACACGAAAAGAAAAUGGGCGUGGCUCUGCCCCUGGGGGUUGGGCAUGCACCCCAAACGAUAGGGAUGUUCCUUAGGGUACAAAGAAUGUGUAUGCAAAGUUUCAAGAUUAUUAGUUAAGAAAUGUGGCCUGUAGACGACAAACAAACAAAUACUAGAAAUGGGCGUGGCUCUGCCCCGGGGGGUCGGGCAUGCACCAAAAACAAUAGGGAUCUUCCUUGGGGUAUAAGGAAUAAGUAUACCAAGUUUGAAGAAAAUCCAUGAAGAAUUGCGCCCUGUAGGCGAACCACAGACACACACACACACACACACACACACACACACACACACAGACAGGGGCGACGGCAUAAUACGUUCACAUUAUGAAUGUGGACGUAUAAAAAUUAAUGUUGUACGCGGAAGUUGAAUUAACUCAUCUCUGACGGUGAUGAAGGAUGGGUCGGGGAUCUACUUAAGCAUAAUAUACAGUCUUUGAUGUCAUCUAAGGACGAAUUGCCAGCCUUUAUAAAUAUGGCACAGGAGAAAAUCCAAAUGUCGGAAAAGCCAUUGAUCGUAGAGCCCGAUGCUGUUAAGCGCCGAGUGUGGCGUUCCACUGGAAAACCUGUCAGUGACGGAGCAGUAAUUUAUUUAGCGGGAGUUCUGGAAUAUAUCAUGGCAGAAAUUCUAGAUUUGUCCGCCACAAGGGUUCGCUAUGGAAACAAAAUCAGACCCAAGCAUGUGAUCAAGGCAAUCCGACAAGAUCCAGAAUUGGAUGAGUUUUUACUGAAGGGUAACGAUUCCAGCGACGAUGAAUAAAAACUUGAAACUUGAAUGAUGACGAGAUAUUAUCCAAAAAUACACUGUCCAUUGUGAAAAUAUUGUCAGAAUUUUUCUUUACGAAAUAAUAAAGAUCUUUAUUAAUA